GACGAACGCUGGCGGCGUGCUUAACACAUGCAAGUCGAACGGAAAGGCCCUGCUUUUGUGGGGUGCUCGAGUGGCGAACGGGUGAGUAACACGUGAGUAACCUGCCCUUGACUUUGGGAUAACUUCAGGAAACUGGGGCUAAUACCGGAUAGGAGCUCCUGCUGCACGGUGGGGGUUGGAAAGUUUCGGCGGUGGGGGAUGGACUCGCGGCUUAUCAGCUUGUUGGUGGGGUAGUGGCUUACCAAGGCUUUGACGGGUAGCCGGCCUGAGAGGGUGACCGGCCACAUUGGGACUGAGGUACGGCCCAGACUCCUACGGGAGGCAGCAGUGGGGAAUAUUGCGCAAUGGGCGGAAGCCUGAUGCAGCAACGUCGCGUGCGGGAUGACGGCCUUCGGGUUGUAAACCGCUUUCGCCUGUGACGAAGCGUGCGUGACGGUAAUGGGUAAAGAAGCACCGGCUAACUACGUG
rnacentral:rRNA from 1 species